GCCUGCCACUGACUAAAAGUUUAACGGCCGCGGUAUCUUAACCGUGCAAAGGUAGCACAAUAAAUUGUUCUCUAAAUAAGGACUAGUAUGAACGGCACCACGAGGGCUUAACUGUCUCCCCCAUCCAAUCAAUGAAAUUGAUCUUCUCGUGAAGAAGCGAGAAUAAAUAUAUAAGACGAGAAGACCCCAUGGAGCUUUAAACUCAUCACCAAUUACCUAAUUUAAAACACUAUAAACAGUAAAAAUGUUCUUGAUAGUUUUCGGCUGGGGUGACCCUGGAGUAAAAUAGACCCUCCAGAAUGAAUGAAUUUAAAAUUCUAAUCCAAGAAUUACAAUUCUAAGAAUCAAAAAUUUGACAUAAUGAUCCAAUUAUUUGAUCAACGAACCAAGUUACCCUGGGGAUAACAGCGCAAUCCAUUUCAAGAGCCCCUAUCGACAAAUGGGUUUACGACCUCGAUGUUGGAUCGGGGUAUCCUAGUGGCGCAGCCGCUACCAAUGGUUCGUUUGUUCAACGAUUAAUAACCCCACGUGAUCUGAGU
rnacentral:rRNA from 1 species